GGUCCCAAGGGUUGGGCUGUUCGCCCAUUAAAGUGGUACGCGAGCUGGGUUCAGAACGUCGUGAGACAGUUCGGUCCCUAUCCGUCGCAGGCGUAGGAAAUUUGAGAAGACCUGUCCUUAGUACGAGAGGACCGGGAUGGACGUACCUCUGGUGUACCAGUUGUUCUGCCAAGGGCAUGGCUGGGUAGCUAUGUACGGAAUGGAUAAGCGCUGAAAGCAUCUAAGCGCGAAGCCAACUUCAAGAUAAGAUUUCCCACCGCAAGGGUAAGACCCCAGAAAGACUAUCUGGUUGAUAGGUCGAAGGUGUAAGUGCAGCAAUGUAUUUAGCUUAUCGAUACUAAUAGGUCGAGGACUUGACCAAU
rnacentral:rRNA from 1 species